AGAAUCAACGCUGGCGGCGUGCCUAACACAUGCAAGUCGAACGAGAAAGUGGAGCAAUCCAUGAGUAAAGUGGCGCACGGGUGAGUAACACGUGACUAACCUACCCUUGAGUGGGGGAUAACCUAGAGAAAUCUGGGCUAAUACCGCAUAAUACCUUCGGGUCAAAGGAGCAAUUCGCUUAAGGAGGGGGUCGCGGCCGAUUAGUUAGUUGGCGGGGUAAUGGCCCACCAAGACUGUGAUCGGUAUCCGGCCUGAGAGGGCGCACGGACACACUGGAACUGAAACACGGUCCAGACUCCUACGGGAGGCAGCAGUGGGGAAUUUUGCGCAAUGGGGGAAACCCUGACGCAGCAACGCCGCGUGGAGGAUGAAGUCCCUUGGGACGUAAACUCCUUUCGAUCGGGACGAUUAUGACGGUACCGAGAGAAGAAGCCCCGGCUAACUUCGCGCUAGCAGCCGC
rnacentral:rRNA from 1 species